rnacentral:rRNA from 1 species
AAAACUUUCAACAACGGAUCUCUUGGUUCUGGCAUCGAUGAAGAACGCAGCGAAAUGCGAUAAGUAAUGUGAAUUGCAAAAUUCAGUGAAUCAUCGAAUCUUUGAACGCACAUUGCGCCUCCUGAAAAUUCCGGAAGGCAUACCUGUUCGAGCGUCAU